rnacentral:rRNA from 1 species
GGUUAAGCGACUAAGCGUACACGGUGGAUGCCCUGGCAGUCAGAGGCGAUGAAGGACGUGCUAAUCUGCGAAAAGCGACGGCGAGGUGAUAUGAACCUUUGACCCGUCGAUGUCCGAAUGGGGAAACCCAGUGUGUUUCGACACACUAUCGUUAACUGAAUACAUAGGUUAACGAGGCGAACCGGGGGAACUGAAACAUCUAAGUACCCCGAGGAAAAGAAAUCAACCGAGAUUCCCCCAGUAGCGGCGAGCGAACGGGGAGCAGCCCGGAGUCUGAAUCAGCUUGUGUGUUAGUGGAACGGUCUGGAAAGUCCGACGGUACAGGGUGAUAGUCCCGUACACGAAAAUGCACAUGCUGUGAACUCGAAGAGUAGGGCGGGACACGUGGUAUCCUGUCUGAAUAUGGGGGGACCAUCCUCCAAGGCUAAAUACUCCUGACUGACCGAUAGUGAACCAGUACCGUGAGGGAAAGGCGAAAAGAACCCCGGCGAGGGGAGUGAAAAAGAACCUGAAACCGUGUACGUACAAGCAGUGGGAGCACCUUCGGGUGUGACUGCGUACCUUUUGUAUAAUGGGUCAGCGACUUAUAUUCUGUAGCAAGGUUAACCGUAUAGGGGAGCCGAAGGGAAACCGAGUCUUAACUGGGCGUUAAGUUGCAGGGUAUAGACCCGAAACCCGGUGAUCUAGCCAUGGGCAGGUUGAAGGUUGGGUAACACUAACUGGAGGACCGAACCGACUAAUGUUGAAAAAUUAGCGGAUGACCUGUGGCUGGGGGUGAAAGGCCAAUCAAACCGGGAGAUAGCUGGUUCUCCCCGAAAGCUAUUUAGGUAGCGCCUCGUGAACUCAUCUUCGGGGGUAGAGCACUGUUUCGGCUAGGGGGCCAUCCCGGCUUACCAACCCGAUGCAAACUACGAAUACCGAAGAAUGUUAUCACGGGAGACACACGGCGGGUGCUAACGUCCGUCGUGAAGAGGGAAACAACCCAGACCGCCAGCUAAGGUCCCAAAGUCAUGGUUAAGUGGGAAACGAUGUGGGAAGGCACAGACAGCCAGGAUGUUGGCUUAGAAGCAGCCAUCAUUUAAAGAAAGCGUAAUAGCUCACUGGUCGAGUCGGCCUGCGCGGAAGAUGUAACGGGGCUAAACCAUGCACCGAAGCUGCGGCAGCGACACUAUGUGUUGUUGGGUAGGGGAGCGUUCUGUAAGCCGUUGAAGGUGUGCUGUGAGGCAUGCUGGAGGUAUCAGAAGUGCGAAUGCUGACAUAAGUAACGAUAAAGCGGGUGAAAAGCCCGCUCGCCGGAAGACCAAGGGUUCCUGUCCAACGUUAAUCGGGGCAGGGUGAGUCGACCCCUAAGGCGAGGCCGAAAGGCGUAGUCGAUGGGAAACAGGUUAAUAUUCCUGUACUUGGUGUUACUGCGAAGGGGGGACGGAGAAGGCUAUGUCAGCCGGGCGACGGUUGUCCCGGUUUAAGCAUGUAGGCGGAGGUUCCAGGUAAAUCCGGUACCUUUUAACGCUGAGGUGUGAUGACGAGGCACUACGGUGCUGAAGUGAUAAAUGCCCUGCUUCCAGGAAAAGCCUCUAAGCAUCAGGUAACACGAAAUCGUACCCCAAACCGACACAGGUGGUCAGGUAGAGAAUACCAAGGCGCUUGAGAGAACUCGGGUGAAGGAACUAGGCAAAAUGGUGCCGUAACUUCGGGAGAAGGCACGCUGAUAUGUAGGUGAAGCCCCUGCGGGCGGAGCUGAAAUCAGUCGAAGAUACCAGCUGGCUGCAACUGUUUAUUAAAAACACAGCACUGUGCAAACACGAAAGUGGACGUAUACGGUGUGACGCCUGCCCGGUGCCGGAAGGUUAAUUGAUGGGGUUAGCGGCAACGCGAAGCUCUUGAUCGAAGCCCCGGUAAACGGCGGCCGUAACUAUAACGGUCCUAAGGUAGCGAAAUUCCUUGUCGGGUAAGUUCCGACCUGCACGAAUGGCGUAAUGAUGGCCAGGCUGUCUCCACCCGAGACUCAGUGAAAUUGAACUCGCUGUGAAGAUGCAGUGUACCCGCGGCAAGACGGAAAGACCCCGUGAACCUUUACUAUAGCUUGACACUGAACACUGGUCCUUGAUGUGUAGGAUAGGUGGGAGGCUUUGAAGCGUGGACGCCAGUCUGCGUGGAGCCGUCCUUGAAAUACCACCCUUUAAUGGCUGGUGUUCUAACGUAGACCCGUGAUCCGGGUUGCGGACAGUGUCUGGUGGGUAGUUUGACUGGGGCGGUCUCCUCCCAAAGAGUAACGGAGGAGCACGAAGGUUGGCUAAUCCUGGUCGGACAUCAGGAGGUUAGUGCAAUGGCAUAAGCCAGCUUGACUGCGAGCGUGACGGCGCGAGCAGGUGCGAAAGCAGGUCAUAGUGAUCCGGUGGUUCUGAAUGGAAGGGCCAUCGCUCAACGGAUAAAAGGUACUCCGGGGAUAACAGGCUGAUACCGCCCAAGAGUUCAUAUCGACGGCGGUGUUUGGCACCUCGAUGUCGGCUCAUCACAUCCUGGGGCUGAAGUAGGUCCCAAGGGUAUGGCUGUUCGCCAUUUAAAGUGGUACGCGAGCUGGGUUUAGAACGUCGUGAGACAGUUCGGUCCCUAUCUGCCGUGGGCGCUGGAGAAUUGAGGGGGGCUGCUCCUAGUACGAGAGGACCGGAGUGGACGCAUCACUGGUGUUCGGGUUGUCAUGCCAAUGGCACUGCCCGGUAGCUAAAUGCGGAAGAGAUAAGUGCUGAAAGCAUCUAAGCACGAAACUUGCCCCGAGAUGAGUUCUCCCUGAGACUUUAAGUCUCCUGAAGGAACGUUGAAGACGACGACGUUGAUAGGUCGGGUGUGUAAGCGCAGCGAUGCGUUGAGCUAACCGAUACUAAUGAACCGUGAGGCUUAACCUU